AAAUUGUAGGGACACAUGCUAACAGGCCUUUUCCGCCCCGCGGAAAAACCGACUCCUGCAAAAUAAGAGGCUACUUCCGGUGCGUAACAACCAUGCUUGUGCGGGGCACGCGCUGAGGCUAAAACCCUCCCUGAGAAACAAUGAGGCUUCUAAAAAAGGUUCCGGGCCCUCUGAGGCCGGGACAGCUCAAAAGGGCUUGGCUUUCCCCUCGCUCCAUCUCCCCGCGCUCGAUUCCAGAACUCAGCGCGGGUGAUUCAAUUAUUAUUGCACUCAAACGUGGGGCUUCCAAACCGUUCCCGAGAGCCUGUGGGCCACUGCUGAGGACCUGUGGAGAGGACAAUGCAUGAAGCUCCAGCCCUGCUUCCAUCAUAGCAGCUGGUUCUAUUUCACAUAUUCCAGCAACCUGAAGAAUGGAGAUCACUAUAUCCCCCAAUUGAACCGAUGAGAAAACUGAAGCUCAGAAGGUUCAAUGACUGGGUCAAGCCUCCACGGUUAGUAAGUGACAGAACGGGAUUCCUAGACGUGCUUAAGCACAGACCGACGAAUUGGGUGGAUGGGCCGGUAGCAGUGAGUGGGGAACUUAAAGCGGGAGGGGGACGAAGAAGGGACAUUUGGGACUUCAGGAAGUUGAAAUGAUCACUUCGGAAGCUGCUUAGGGGUGCAGUUGGGCGCGGUCCCAGGGCCCAGCCAGAACUGCAGUGUGCCACGCGGCUAUCUCUGUGGCCAAGGGAUUUUCCGCGCGCAGGGAGUGGGGCUUGCCAGGUGGGGGCGGCUGGUGGGGCGGGGCUUCCCUGGGCCCGCCCCUUGCCCAGGGGAGG
rnacentral:lncRNA from 1 species